rnacentral:rRNA from 1 species
GACAGAGGCCCCAAGCGUUAGGCGGAAUCACUGGGCUUAAAGCGUGUGUAGGCGGAUCGUUAAGUGUCUUGUGAAAUCCCACGGCUCACCCGUGGAACUGCUGGGCAUACUGGCGAUCUUGGGCCAACUAGGGGCAGUCGGAACAAGCGGUGGAGCGGUGAAAUGCGUAGAUAUCGCGUGGAACGCCGAAGGUGAAAACAGACUGCUGGGGUUGCGCCGACGCUGAGACACGAAAGCCAGGGGAGCAAACGGG